rnacentral:rRNA from 1 species
UACGUAGGGGGCGAGCGUUGUCCGGAUUUAUUGGGCGUAAAGAGCGUGUAGGCGGCCAGGUAGGUCUGCUGUGAAAACUCGAGGCUCAACCUCGAGACGCCGGUGGAAACCGUAAAGCUAGAGUCCGGAAGAGGAGAGUGGAAUUCCUGGUGUAGCGGUGAAAUGCGCAGAUAUCAGGAGGAACACCCGUGGCGAAAGCGGCUCUCUGGGACGGUACUGACGCUGAGACGCGAAAGCGUGGGGAGCAAACAGG